CAGAGUAUUCACAUGCACACAAACAUCACGAGAUAAAGGUGGCCAACAACAAAGAGAGAGGAUCCACAAAUAAGCAACUAGCUGGAUUCAAUAAGCAUUGUUACUGUUCCAUCAGAUAACAGUUGCUACCGGAGGAGACCAGACACAGCAGCACCUAACUACAGCAAGACACGCGAACAUACGAGGGAAGCCUGCAAGCGGAGGCCACGCAGCCUAGGACGAGGUGAACUUGGUGACGGCCUUGGUGCCCUCGGAGACGGCGUGCUUGGCGAGCUCCCCGGGGAGGACGAGGCGCACGGAGGUCUGGAUCUCACGGGAGGUGAUGGUGGGCUUCUUGUUGUACCGCGCGAGCUUGGCGGCCUCGGCGGCGAGCUUCUCGAAGAUGUCGUUGAUGAAGG
rnacentral:lncRNA from 1 species